rnacentral:rRNA from 1 species
GACAGAGGGUGCAAGCGUUGUUCGGAAUCACUGGGCGUAAAGGGCGUGUAGGCGGGCAGGUAAGUCAGAUGUGAAAUCCCUGGGCUCAACCCAGGAACUGCAUUUGAAACUCCCUUUCUUGAGUGUCGGAGAGGAAAGUGGAAUUCCUGGUGUAGAGGUGAAAUUCGUAGAUAUCAGGAGGAACACCGGUGGCGAAGGCGGCUUUCUGGACGACAACUGACGCUGAGACGCGAAAGCGUGGGGAGCAAACAGG